CCCGGACCCGGAGCCCGGCAGGGCAGGCGAGCCGGACAGUAGCCCACAUUUCCAGCCUUGCCGACCAUGAAUGGGAUGGCCAAUGUGAAUUCUGCCAGCCGCCCCCACUAUGCCUCCUCCAUCCCUGUGCCUCGAGCUUCUUCCCAGACCAGGAUUCAUACACCGGGCGCUUCUCCCCAGCUGCGUCCACGCCAGGCUGGCCUGGCUUUGAGCCCCCAGAGAGCAGCCUCCCCAAGACUGGGCAAGACCGCAGGCCCUUCCAGAAACUCCUCUCCCAAGGCCUCCCAGGGGAGAGGCUCCCCCAAGACUGCUGGGGCAGUGAGGGAGUCAGCUGAGUGCAGUGAAGGCCUCUCCGGCUCCCCAUGGAGCAGUCCCAGAAUAACCCCAAAAGCAGCUCUUUCCAGCCGGGCUGGGUCCAGAAGAGUUGGGGAGACACAAGGCACCCAGGGAAAGAAGAAGGCCCAGGAAGCGAUUCCAAUUCACCAGACCCGGGGCAGGAGCCCAUCCCGGACAAGCUCUCAUGGAGAAACUCAAAUACCAGGCCCUCCUGAAGGUCGAAAGUCUACUAGCUGCCCCGGAAAAGACCAGAGAGAUAUAAACAACAAAAGUUCUGGGAUCCCCAGGUCUCUGGAGCCUGAUGACAGGGCAGCUUCACGGCCUACCUCUCCAGUCUGCAGCCCAGCGCAGAGCAAACACGCCUCCUCCACCCCGGCAGCCAUUAGCUUCUCCUCGGUCCAUCAACAGAGUCAGCCGGUCACAGCCACCGUGGCCCCCUUCCAGUACAGGUUGCAGACAGACCAGGAACCUGGCCCCCUUCCCCAGGGGACCUGGGCCCUUGAUGGCUACUCCAGCCCUUCCAACAGGACUGAGGAGACUUUCUCCUGCAUGGACGCGCGGAUCGUCCAUGCGCUCCUCGCGGGCAGAAUGCUGGGCAGCAGCGUCAAGAGCGUGCAGCCCGAGGUGGAGCUGAGCGGCGGCGGCGGCGGCGACGAGGGCGCGGACGAGCCGCGGGGCGCAGGCAGGAGGGCGGCGGCGGCCGACGGCAGAGGCAUGCUGCCCAAGCGCGCCAAGGCGCCCGGCGGCGGCGGCGGCGGCGGCAUGGCCAAGGCCAGCGCUGCGGAGCUGAAGGUCUUCAAGUCCGGCAGCGUGGACAGCCGGAUCCCCGGCGGGCUGCCCGCCUCCAACCUGCGCAAGCAGAAGUCGCUCACUAACCUCUCGUUCCUCACCGACUCCGAGAAGAAGCUGCAGCUCUACGAGCCCGAGUGGAGCGACGAUAUGGCCAAGGCGCCCAAGGGCUUGAGCAAGAUGGGGCCCAAGGGCCGCGAGGCUCCGCUGAUGUCCAAGACGCUGUCCAAGUCAGAGCACUCGCUUUUCCAGGCCAAGAGUGGCCCGGCGGGCGGCACCAAGACCCCCCUGGCUCCGCUAGCGCCCAACCUGGGAAAGCCGAGCCGGAUCCCGCGCGGACCCUACGCGGAGGUCAAGCCGCUCAGCAAGGCGCCCGAGGCGGCCGUGAGCGACGACGGCAAAUCGGACGACGAGCUGCUCUCCAGCAAGGCCAAGGCCCAAAAGGGCUCUGGGCCCGUGCCCUCCGCCAAGGGCCAGGAGGAGCGCGCCUUCCUCAAGGUGGACCCUGAGCUUGUGGUGACUGUGCUGGGCGACCUGGAGCAGCUGCUCUUCAGCCAGAUGCUGGACCCAGAGUCCCAGAGAAAGAGGACAGUGCAGAAUGUCCUGGAUCUUCGACAGAACCUGGAAGAGACCAUGUCCAGCCUGCGAGGGUCCCAGGUGACUCACAGCUCCCUAGAGAUGACCUGCUAUGACAGCGAUGAUGCCAACCCUCGCAGCGUGUCCAGCCUCUCCAACCGCUCAUCCCCUCUCUCCUGGCGCUACGGCCAGUCCAGCCCGCGGCUGCAGGCUGGUGACGCGCCUUCCGUGGGCGGGAGCUGCCGCUCUGAGGGGCCACCCGCCUGGUACAUGCACGGGGAGCGGGCCCACUACUCCCACACCAUGCCCAUGCGCAGCCCCAGCAAGCUCAGCCACAUAUCCCGCCUGGAGCUGGUCGAGUCCCUGGACUCGGAUGAGGUGGACCUCAAGUCCGGCUACAUGAGCGACAGUGACCUCAUGGGCAAGACUAUGACUGAGGAUGACGACAUCACUACUGGCUGGGAUGAAAGCAGCUCCAUCAGCAGUGGGCUCAGCGAUGCCUCAGACAACCUCAGCUCAGAAGAGUUCAAUGCCAGCUCCUCACUUAACUCCCUCCCAACUACUCCCACUGCUUCUCGCAGGAACUCUACAAUAGUGCUACGCACAGACUCAGAGAAGCGCUCACUGGCAGAAAGUGGGCUGAGCUGGUUUAGUGAAUCAGAGGAAAAGACUCCCAAAAAACUGGAGUACGACAGUGGUAGCCUGAAGAUGGAACCUGGGACUUCUAAGUGGCGGAGAGAGCGGCCUGAGAGCUGUGAUGAUUCAUCCAAGGGUGGAGAACUGAAAAAGCCCAUCAGCCUAGGACACCCUGGUUCCCUGAAGAAGGGCAAGACCCCACCAGUGGCUGUCACUUCCCCCAUCACUCAUACAGCCCAGAGUGCCCUCAAAGUCGCGGGCAAACCUGAAGGCAAAGCUACAGACAAGGGUAAGCUUGCAGUGAAGAAUACCGGGUUACAGCGCUCCUCUUCUGAUGCUGGCCGGGAUCGCCUGAGCGAUGCUAAGAAGCCCCCCUCGGGCAUUGCUCGCCCCUCCACUUCAGGAUCCUUUGGCUACAAGAAGCCUCCUCCUGCCACAGGCACAGCCACUGUCAUGCAGACUGGUGGUUCAGCCACUCUCAGCAAGAUCCAGAAGUCCUCGGGCAUCCCUGUCAAGCCAGUAAAUGGACGCAAGACUAGCUUAGAUGUGUCCAACAGCACAGAGCCGGGAUUCCUGGCUCCUGGAGCCCGUUCCAACAUCCAGUACCGCAGCCUGCCCCGGCCAGCCAAGUCCAGUUCUAUGAGCGUGACUGGAGGGCGGGGUGGACCUCGCCCUGUUAGCAGCAGCAUUGACCCCAGUCUUCUCAGCACCAAGCAGGGAGGCCUUACACCCUCCAGACUGAAGGAGCCUUCCAAGGUAGCCAGUGGGCGGACCACUCCAGCCCCUGUCAAUCAGACAGAUCGGGAAAAGGAGAAGGCCAAAGCGAAGGCAGUGGCCUUGGACUCAGACAACAUCUCCUUGAAGAGCAUUGGCUCCCCAGAAAGUACUCCCAAAAACCAAGCAAGCCACCCCCCAGCAACCAAGUUGGCAGAGCUGCCACCAACCCCUCUCAGGGCCACAGCUAAGAGCUUUGUCAAGCCACCCUCACUAGCCAAUCUAGACAAGGUCAACUCCAACAGUCUGGAUCUACCAUCGUCCAGCGACACCCACGCUUCAAAGGCCCCAGAUCUGCAUGCUACAAGCUCCGCAACUGGGGGCCCUCUCCCUUCUUGUUUCACCCCCAGUCCAGCACCCAUCCUCAAUAUUAACUCAGCCAGCUUCUCUCAGGGCCUGGAGCUAAUGAGCGGCUUCAGUGUCCCCAAGGAAACCCGCAUGUACCCCAAACUCUCAGGCCUGCACAGGAGCAUGGAGUCCCUCCAGAUGCCAAUGAGCCUGCCCAGUGCCUUCCCCAGCAGUACUCCCAUCCCCACCCCUCCUGCCGCCCCCGCUGCCCCCGCAGAGGAAGAGACGGAAGAGCUAAGCUGGAGUGGAAGCCCCAGAACUGGGCAAUUGGACAGUAAUCAGAGGGAUCGGAACACACUUCCCAAGAAAGGACUCAGGUACCAGCUUCAGUCCCAGGAGGAGACCAAGGAGAGGCGACACUCCCAUACUAUCGGGGGGCUCCCUGAAUCCGACGACCAGUCAGAGCUGCCUUCACCCCCUGCACUAUCCAUGUCCUUGAGUGCAAAGGGCCAGCUUACCAACAUAGUGAGUCCCACUGCGGCCACCACGCCAAGAAUCACCCGCUCCAACAGCAUCCCCACCCACGAGGCGGCCUUCGAGCUGUACAGCGGCUCCCAAAUGGGGAGCACCCUGUCCCUGGCCGAGAGACCCAAGGGAAUGAUUCGGUCCGGAUCCUUCCGAGACCCCACGGACGAUGUUCAUGGUUCAGUGCUGUCCCUGGCCUCCAGUGCCUCCUCCACUUACUCCUCAGCUGAGGAGAGGAUGCAAUCUGAGCAAAUCCGGAAGCUUCGUAGGGAACUGGAAUCAUCCCAGGAAAAAGUGGCCACCCUGACGUCUCAGCUUUCUGCCAAUGCUAAUCUAGUGGCUGCUUUCGAGCAGAGUCUGGUGAAUAUGACAUCCCGCCUGCGACACCUGGCAGAGACAGCCGAGGAGAAGGACACUGAGCUUCUGGAUUUGCGAGAAACCAUAGACUUUCUGAAGAAAAAGAACUCUGAGGCUCAGGCAGUCAUUCAGGGAGCACUUAAUGCCUCAGAAACCACACCCAAAGAACUCCGGAUCAAGAGGCAGAACUCCUCCGAUAGCAUCUCAAGCCUCAACAGCAUCACUAGCCAUUCCAGUAUUGGCAGCAGCAAGGAUGCUGAUGCAAAAAAGAAGAAAAAAAAGAGCUGGCUUCGAAGUUCCUUCAACAAAGCCUUCAGUAUAAAAAAAGGACCCAAGUCAGCUUCCUCAUAUUCUGACAUAGAGGAGAUUGCCACACCUGACUCCUCGGCCCCCUCAUCCCCCAAACUACAACAUGGUUCCACAGAGACUGCGUCACCCUCCAUCAAGUCCUCCAACUCAUCCUCUGUGGGCAUCGAUGUCACUGAGGGCCCUGCUCACUCAGUUCCCCACACUAGGCUGUUCCAUGCCAGUGAGGAGGAGGAGCCAGAGAAGAAGGAGGUGUCAGAGCUGCGCUCUGAGCUAUGGGAGAAAGAGAUGAAGCUUACAGACAUCCGCUUGGAGGCCCUCAACUCUGCCCACCAGCUAGACCAGCUCCGGGAGACCAUGCACAACAUGCAGUUGGAGGUGGACCUGCUGAAAGCAGAGAAUGACCGGCUGAAGGUAGCCCCAGGUCCCUCAUCAGGCUCCACUCCAGGGCAGGUCCCUGGAUCAUCUGCUUUAUCAUCCCCUCGCCGCUCCCUGGGCCUUGCACUCACCCAUUCCUUCAGCCCAAGUCUCACAGACACAGACCUAUCACCCAUGGAUGGCAUCAGCACUUGUGCUCCAAAGGAGGAAGUGACCCUUCGGGUGGUGGUGAGGAUGCCCCCCCAGCACAUCAUCAAAGGGGACUUGAAGCAGCAGGAAUUCUUCCUGGGAUGUAGCAAGAUCAGUGGGAAAGUUGACUGGAAGAUGCUGGAUGACGCUGUUUUCCAAGUGUUCAAGGACUAUAUUUCUAAAAUGGACCCAGCCUCUACCCUGGGGCUUAGCACCGAGUCCAUCCACGGCUACAGCAUCAGCCACGUGACACGGGUGCUGGAUGCUGAGCCCCCAGAGAUGCCUCCGUGCCGUCGAGGUGUCAACAGCAUAUCAGUGUCCCUCAAAGGUCUGAAGGAGAAAUGCGUCGACAGCCUGGUGUUUGAGACGCUGAUCCCCAAGCCGAUGAUGCAGCACUACAUAAGCCUCCUGCUCAAGCACCGGCGCCUCGUCCUCUCGGGCCCCAGCGGCACGGGCAAGACCUACCUGACCAAUCGGCUGGCCGAGUACCUAGUGGAGCGCUCCGGCCGUGAGGUCACCGAGGGCAUCGUCAGCACUUUCAACAUGCACCAGCAGUCUUGCAAGGAUCUGCAACUGUAUCUUUCCAACCUGGCUAACCAGAUAGAUCGGGAAACUGGAAUUGGGGAUGUGCCCCUGGUGAUCCUGUUGGAUGACCUGAGUGAAGCAGGCUCCAUCAGUGAGCUGGUCAACGGGGCCCUCACCUGCAAGUAUCACAAAUGUCCCUAUAUUAUAGGUACCACCAAUCAGCCUGUAAAAAUGACACCCAACCAUGGUUUGCACUUGAGCUUCAGGAUGCUGACCUUCUCCAACAACGUGGAGCCGGCCAAUGGCUUCCUGGUUCGUUACCUGAGGAGGAAGCUGGUGGAGUCAGACAGCGACGUCAACGCCAACAAGGAAGAGCUGCUUCGGGUGCUCGACUGGGUACCCCAGCUGUGGUACCACCUCCACACCUUCCUGGAGAAGCACAGCACCUCAGACUUCCUCAUCGGCCCUUGUUUCUUUCUGUCCUGUCCCAUUGGCAUUGAGGACUUCCGGACCUGGUUCAUCGACCUGUGGAACAACUCUAUCAUCCCCUAUCUACAGGAAGGAGCCAAGGAUGGGAUCAAGGUUCAUGGACAGAAAGCCGCCUGGGAGGACCCAGUGGAGUGGGUCCGGGACACUCUUCCCUGGCCGUCAGCCCAACAAGACCAGUCAAAGCUGUACCACCUGCCCCCACCCACUGUGGGCCCUCAUAGCAUUGCCUCACCUCCUGAGGACAGGACAGUCAAAGAUAGCACCCCAAGUUCCCUGGACUCAGAUCCGCUGAUGGCCAUGCUGCUGAAACUUCAAGAAGCUGCCAACUACAUUGAGUCUCCAGAUCGAGAAACCAUCCUGGACCCCAACCUCCAGGCAACACUCUGAGGGUCCAGCAGUCACUGUCGCCCCAGGACAGUGACAGCAGAGUGCUGGCAUCAGCUACGUUAGCUCCUCCUCUCCCCUCUCUUCUUUCAGAGCACUUGGCUCUCCAGCCCCAGAAGGAGAACAGGAGAGAGGAGGAGGAGAAUAUUCACUUAUAAGAGGCUGGAUAUCCAUAUGAGAUACUCCCAAUCAGAAUAUAAGGCUCAAGGAAUUGGAUUUGGUGGCCAAUAUCAGCCUUCUAAAGGGAUCCCACCUUUUGCAGAAGUUGCCCCUUUUCUAUUGCCCUGAAGGUCUGGCAGUUUGUGUUCCUUCAUUUGAUAAGUGCUUACUGAGUACUUAUUGUGGACCAAUCACUAAGUUUAAGAAGAAAAAAAACAGACAAGAAUUGGGUCAUUGAGUUCACAGUCUAGAAGGAAUUGUUAACCUCCAUUAAGUGCUCACCCCUUACUAUCUAGACCUUCAAGAUCAUCUAAGAAAUACAGCUGAAACCCAAGGAGCCAGCUAGAAAGAAGCCUUUGAUUAGAUGUCCAAUACAUUGGGGACAGAAGAUCUUGGAUCAAUUAAGAUGGAGCCAAAAGAACUAUGGAGUCUUUCUUGUCUGGGAUGGGCAGUCUACUUCCUGCCAUUUCUGAAAGCCCCUGUGGGUCCAGAUUCCCAGCUGAGCUGCCUGGUAGGCUGAAGUUUCAGGGCUCUGCAGAUCAGGGAUAUGUGAUGAGUCUUGGCUUAAGUGUUUGCUCUUUAGAUUCCUAAGUAGCACAGGAAUUUAUCAGAAUCUAUAGGCAUACCAUCUUGGAUCAUUCCAUUCCACCCAACCAAGGAGUAGAUACAUCUGAAUCUUCAUAUCAGAAUAUUCUCAUUUAGGUCCACGAAAUCAUCCAGAUUGCCCCCAACAAAGUUUCUGCAUUCACCUGGUAGCUCACAGGGAUGACAGGGUCCUUUAUGCUGAAGACUAUUACUGCUAUUGCUGCUAAUUCCAUGAGCUGCGAAGAUCCCCAACCAAUUCAGCUGUAAAAUAUGCAAUUCUGUGGUGGGAAGAAGCUGUUUGUCCAAGGAUGGUGCUGAACUCACUGCCUUAAGGUCUCUGCUGUGCAGAAUGAGGAGGCUCCAGAGCUGGUUGUUCUAACUUAAAAGGAAGGGAAGACCAAAAGGGCCUACUUGGGACCUAGGCCCCUCUGAACCCUCCUAAGCUCCAGUCCUGUGGCAAGGCUCAGACUUUUAAUAACAUCUUAAUCUAAUGGUUGAGCCCUUAACUCUCUAUUUUCUGGUGCUGCCCAGCCAGUGCCUUCUAUCAUGGAUGUUACUGGCUACUUAAGAAAAAGGAGAGGGGAGAACCCCUUCUUCCAUUCCAACUGCCUCAGACCCUAAAGGGAUUCUUGUCUCUCUGGUAACCAUGGAUACCACCAUGAAUUUUAUCUGGAUCCUCAGCAGGUUGAUUCUGGUGGCCUCUCACACUACACUAUUUCUGGGAUUCACCACCCUCUACUCUCAGUCAACUGCUGCAUUUAGCCCAGGUCUCCAAUUGCUUUCCUCCAGAAUGUGUGUUCCCAUCUAGUGAGGUGGGGUUGAAGCCUCAGCUUUCCUCUGGAGCUCAGGACCCGUUUACAGUUGUACAUCGGGGCCCCUCACUGUGGGGGUCGAUCAUCUCAUAAAGGAAUCAUGGGUCUGUGGCAGCCGCAGAAGGUUGAGCCUCCUCUGGUGCUAUAACCCCUUGGGAUGCUCGUCCAGACUUCUCUGAAGCAGAAAAUCUGAGCUCCCUCCUCACUGCCCUAGAAUUAAUGGCAAGGAGCAAAUCCACAGGCCUCUCUCCUACCUACACACCUGCUUCUUAGUUGAAACUACUGGGAUCCCUCAAAAUGAAAAAACUGGGUCCCCUAGCUAAAUUCUCAACAACCAGGCACCUUCAGAAGAAUCCAGCUUGUCUAAUACUGGAAUUUGUGCUGUUCCCUUCCUCUCCAGCUCUCCAACUCCAUCACUCACCAAAGUUGGCUAGUAAAUGACAUGGUUCAGUACCCAACAUCAACCGAUGGGGUGAGCCACAGCUCUACAAGAGGUUCCUCAGCAGAGUCCUCUCAUUUCUGGAUGAAGAAGACCAACCAGUUUUGUCCAAUGCAUUUAUUUCUCAGUC